UACGGAGGGUGCAAGCGUUAUCCGGAUUCACUGGGCUUAAAGGGUGUGUAGGCGGGCUGUUAAGUCAGUGGUGAAAUCUCCGGGCUCAACCCGGAAACUGCCAUUGAUACUAUCAGUCUUGAAUAUUGUUGAGGUGGGCGGAAUAUGUCAUGUAGCGGUGAAAUGCAUAGAGAUGACAUAGAACACCGAUUGCGAAGGCAGCUCACUAAACAUGUAUUGACGCUGAGGCACGAAAGCGUGGGGAUCAAACAGG
rnacentral:rRNA from 1 species